rnacentral:rRNA from 1 species
UACGUAGGGUGCGAGCGUUUAUCGGAAUUACUGGGCGUAAAGCGUGCGCAGGCGGUUUGCUAAGACAGGUGUGAAAUCCCCGGGCUUAACCUGGGAACUGCGCUUGUAACUGGCAAGCUAGAGUGUGGCAGAGGGGGGUGGAAUUCCACGUGUAGCAGUGAAAUGCGUAGAGAUGUGGAGGAACACCGAUGGCGAAGGCAGCCCCCUGGGCUAACACUGACGCUCAUGCACGAAAGCGUGGGGAGCAAACAGG